GAAAUGCGAUAAGUAGUGUGAAUUGCAGAAUUCAGUGAAUCAUCGAAUCUUUGAACGCACAUUGCGCCCCUUGGUAUUCCAUGGGGCAUGCCUGUUCGAGCGUCAUUUGUACCCUCAAGCUCUGCUUGGUGUUGGGUGUUUGUCCCGCCUCCGCGCGCGGACUCACCUCAAAUCCAUUGGCGGCCCCCGCGUCGGCCACGAGCGCAGCAGAAACGCGAACUCGUGAGCCCGUCCGGGCGGCUCCCAGAAGCUACACCCACCCAGUUUGACCUCGGAUCAGGUAGGGAUACCCGCUGAACUUAAGC
rnacentral:misc_RNA from 1 species